GCCCCGUUAGCCCAGUGGUAGAGCUCCUGUGUGUUGAGCGAAAUCGCCUACAAUAACUGCAAGGAGGUCGCAGAUUCGAGUCCUGCCCGGUGGCU
rnacentral:tRNA from 1 species